rnacentral:rRNA from 1 species
CCCUUAGAUGUUCUGGGCCGCACGCGCGCUACACUGAUGCAUUCAACGAGCCUAUCCUUGACCGACAGGUCCGGGUAAUCUUUGAAUCUGCAUCGUGACGGGGAUAGAUUAUUGCAAUUAUUAAUCUUCAACGAGGAAUGCCUAGUAGGCGCAAGUCAUCAGCUUGCGUCGAUUACGUCCCUGCCCUUUGUACACACCGCCCGUCGCUCCUACCGAUUGGGUGUGCUGGUGAAAUGUUCGGAUCGGCCGUUUGUCGCGGUUUCCGCGUCAUGUGGUUGAGAAGUUCAUUAAACCCUCCCACCUAGAGGAAGGAGAAGUCGUAACA